rnacentral:rRNA from 1 species
GUGGCCUGUGAGGGUUGCUGGAGGUAUCAGAAGUGCGAAUGCUGACAUAAGUAACGAUAAAGCGGGUGAAAAGCCCGCUCGCCGGAAGACCAAGGGUUCCUGUCCAACGUUAAUCGGGGCAGGGUGAGUCGACCCCUAAGGCGAGGCCGAAAGGCGUAGUCGAUGGGAAACGGGUUAAUAUUCCCGUACUUGGUGUUACUGCGAAGGGGGGACGGAGAAGGCUAUGUUGGCCGGGCGACGGUUGUCCCGGUUUAAGCGUGUAGGCUGGUUUUCCAGGCAAAUCCGGAAAAUCAAGGCUGAGGCGUGAUGACGAGGCACUACGGUGCUGAAGCAACAAAUGCCCUGCUUCCAGGAAAAGCCUCUAAGCAUCAGGUAACAUCAAAUCGUACCCCAAACCGACACAGGUGGUCAGGUAGAGAAUACCAAGGCGCUUGAGAGAACUCGGGUGAAGGAACUAGGCAAAAUGGUGCCGUAACUUCGGGAGAAGGCACGCUGACACGUAGGUGAAGUGAUUUACUCAUGGAGCUGAAGUCAGUCGAAGAUACCAGCUGGCUGCAACUGUUUAUUAAAAACACAGCACUGUGCAAACACGAAAGUGGACGUAUACGGUGUGACGCCUGCCCGGUGCCGGAAGGUUAAUUGAUGGGGUCAGCGCAAGCGAAGCUCCUGAUCGAAGCCCCGGUAAACGGCGGCCGUAACUAUAACGGUCCUAAGGUAGCGAAAUUCCUUGUCGGGUAAGUUCCGACCUGCACGAAUGGCGUAAUGAUGGCCAGGCUGUCUCCACCCGAGACUCAGUGAAAUUGAACUCGCUGUGAAGAUGCAGUGUACCCGCGGCAAGACGGAAAGACCCCGUGAACCUUUACUAUAGCUUGACACUGAACAUUGAGCCUUGAUGUGUAGGAUAGGUGGGAGGCUUUGAAGUGUGGACGCCAGUCUGCAUGGAGCCGACCUUGAAAUACCACCCUUUAAUGUUUGAUGUUCUAACGUGGACCCGUUACCCGGGUUGCGGACAGUGUCUGGUGGGUAGUUUGACUGGGGCGGUCUCCUCCUAAAGAGUAACGGAGGAGCACGAAGGUUGGCUAAUCCUGGUCGGACAUCAGGAGGUUAGUGCAAUGGCAUAAGCCAGCUUGACUGCGAGCGUGACGGCGCGAGCAGGUGCGAAAGCAGGUCAUAGUGAUCCGGUGGUUCUGAAUGGAAGGGCCAUCGCUCAACGGAUAAAAGGUACUCCGGGGAUAACAGGCUGAUACCGCCCAAGAGUUCAUAUCGACGGCGGUGUUUGGCACCUCGAUGUCGGCUCAUCACAUCCUGGGGCUGAAGUAGGUCCCAAGGGUAUGGCUGUUCGCCAUUUAAAGUGGUACGCGAGCUGGGUUUAGAACGUCGUGAGACAGUUCGGUCCCUAUCUGCCGUGGGCGCUGGAGAACUGAGGGGGGCUGCUCCUAGUACGAGAGGACCGGAGUGGACGCAUCACUGGUGUUCGGGUUGUCAUGCCAAUGGCACUGCCCGGUAGCUAAAUGCGGAAGAGAUAAGUGCUGAAAGCAUCUAAGCACGAAACUUGCCCCGA